rnacentral:rRNA from 1 species
AAUCGUACGUAGAGUGUAAAGGCAAAAGAGAGCUUGAUUGCAAGACAUACAGGUCGAGCAAGGAUGAAAAUCGGACUUAGUGAUCCGGUGGUUCUGCGUGGAAGGGCCAUCGCUCAACGGAUAAAAGCUACCCUGGGGAUAACAGGCUUAUCUCCCCCAAGAGUCCACAUCGACGGGGAGGUUUGGCACCUCGAUGUCGGCUCAUCACAUCCUGGGGCUGUAGUAGGUCCCAAGGGUUGGGCUGUUCGCCCAUUAAAGUGGUACGCGAGCUGGGUUAAGAACGUCGUGAGACAGUUCGGUCCCUAUCCGUCGCAGGCGUAGGAAAUUUGAGAAGACCUGUCCUUAGUACGAGAGGACCGGGAUGGACGUACCUCUGGUGUACCAGUUGUUCUGCCAAGGGCAUGGCUGGGUAGCUAUGUACGGAAUGGAUAAGCGCUGAAAGCAUCUAAGCGCGAAGCCAACUUCAAGAUAAGA